GAGGAGCCUGCAACAGGCAGCAGUUGAGGAGAUUGUAGAGGUACCUGAGGAGAGCGGUACCUCAGGAGCUGAGGAGAGGAUUUUACCUCAUGUGAGAGACAGAGUUCGUGCUCUUAGGAGAGGAGACAGGUCCUGUAUGUAAAGAGACAGGACCCUUGCAGCUUAAGGCAGCGGGAGAAGGAGCAGCAGUAUAGGCGGCAGCACUGACAGGAAACCUGGUGGAAUCGGAGAAAGAACAGAUAAAGUCCACACAGAUAGGGCCUUGGUGGGAAUUGAACCCAAAAACUCAGAUGGUGUCUGAUACAGGCCAAAAAGCUGCAUAUUGCUGUGACAUCAAUGGACCCGCCCCUGUGAAGAAUAUAAAAAUAGCAUUGUAUUUCCCACUUGAUUGAUGAUGAAAAACAAAAGAUACAUUUAUGAAGUAAAGUUUGGUUCUGUUAGGAUGCGUUUGAGAUCUCGACAGUCGGGAGGCCAGCCGUCGUGUAACUGAUGCUGGAAUCCCGACACCAAUCAGGAUACCAACGUAGGGACACCGACAGCCGACAUCCCGCCCGAUUACCUAUCUGUUACAGUAGUUUGGCAUGCUAGCCUGGAUCUGAGAAGCACUUACUGUAGCACUUUGUACUUACUGAUGGGCUGGGGUUGAAUAAUUUGUCUGGCACAGUAGACAUUAUCCUCAAAGGACUUGCAGAGAGAAGCCUUGCCUCCCACAGUUUCCAUGGUCUGUCCUAGGGUCAUUGUUGAUUUUAGGAAGUACCUGGUACAGCAUGUCAUUUUAAGGAACAAGCCAUCUUGAAUUAAUAAAACAACACUUGCAAUAAUUAAAAAUAUUACUGUGAAGGUAGAAAAGAGAGUGACAACCCAAGAAGUCUUUCUUACAAGCUAAGUAGAAAAAGAAUGUAGAAUAUAUAUGAGUGUGUAAUAUAGCUGACACUUCCCGCUAGUUAUUUAUGAUAGGCUGGUAAAAUAAAAUCAAGUAAAACAAAAUGCACAAAGACUGUUAUGCAACGGCAUAUGUCCUCCUAAGGCAGGGGAAUUAAUUUAU